GGCGAACGCUGGCGGCGUGCCUAAUACAUGCAAGUAGAACGCUGAAGAGAGGAGCUUGCUCUUCUUGGAUGAGUUGCGAACGGGUGAGUAACGCGUAGGUAACCUGCCUUGUAGCGGGGGAUAACUAUUGGAAACGAUAGCUAAUACCGCAUAACAAUGGAUGACACAUGUCAUUUAUUUGAAAGGGGCAAUUGCUCCACUACAAGAUGGACCUGCGUUGUAUUAGCUAGUAGGUGAGGUAAUGGCUCACCUAGGCGACGAUACAUAGCCGACCUGAGAGGGUGAUCGGCCACACUGGGACUGAGACACGGCCCAGACUCCUACGGGAGGCAGCAGUAGGGAAUCUUCGGCAAUGGGGGCAACCCUGACCGAGCAACGCCGCGUGAGUGAAGAAGGUUUUCGGAUCGUAAAGCUCUGUUGUAAGUCAAGAACGGGUGUGAGAGUGGAAAGUUCACACUGUGACGGUAGCUUACCAGAAAGGGACGGCUAACUACGUG
rnacentral:rRNA from 1 species